rnacentral:rRNA from 2 species
CGAGCUUCCGUUGAAUGACGUGCUUGCACUGAUUUCAACAAUGAAGCGAGUGGCGAACUGGUGAGUAACACGUGGGAAAUCUGCCCAGAAGCAGGGGAUAACACUUGGAAACAGGUGCUAAUACCGUAUAACAACAAAAUCCGCAUGGAUUUUGUUUGAAAGGUGGCUUCGGCUAUCACUUCUGGAUGAUCCCGCGGCGUAUUAGUUAGUUGGUGAGGUAAAGGCCCACCAAGACGAUGAUACGUAGCCGACCUGAGAGGGUAAUCGGCCACAUUGGGACUGAGACACGGCCCAAACUCCUACGGGAGGCAGCAGUAGGGAAUCUUCCACAAUGGACGAAAGUCUGAUGGAGCAAUGCCGCGUGAGUGAAGAAGGGUUUCGGCUCGUAAAACUCUGUUGUUAAAGAAGAACACCUUUGAGAGUAACUGUUCAAGGGUUGACGGUAUUUAACCAGAAAGCCACGGCUAACUACGUGCCAGCAGCCGCGGUAAUACGUAGGUGGCAAGCGUUGUCCGGAUUUAUUGGGCGUAAAGCGAGCGCAGGCGGUUUUUUAAGUCUGAUGUGAAAGCCUUCGGCUUAACCGGAGAAGUGCAUCGGAAACUGGGAGACUUGAGUGCAGAAGAGGACAGUGGAACUCCAUGUGUAGCGGUGGAAUGCGUAGAUAUAUGGAAGAACACCAGUGGCGAAGGCGGCUGUCUAGUCUGUAACUGACGCUGAGGCUCGAAAGCAUGGGUAGCGAACAGGAUUAGAUACCCUGGUAGUCCAUGCCGUAAACGAUGAGUGCUAAGUGUUGGAGGGUUUCCGCCCUUCAGUGCUGCAGCUAACGCAUUAAGCACUCCGCC